ensembl:lncRNA
GGCAGCUCGCGUCAAAGCUUUAUUUGCUGUUUCCAGAGUCUGAAUGUGACAUCUUUGUACAUGCAAAAGGUCAUUGUGUUUUAGGGCAGUCGACCAGACUCCCAACUGCUCUGCUGUGCGUAUGAAAUCUCUUUACAGUUACAAAAUAGAAAAGCACUUGUAGACAUCCGAUACUCUGAGAGGUCCGGGAAGCCCCGUUGGUUUUGACGUUAAAAAUAUAGUUUUUUUUUUUUUUUUUUCCUGGAUGAAUUCUCAGUCACAUGAUUAGAGAGGUCCUUUCUGGGAUUGAAUAAAGUGCCGGUCGACCGCCUUCCGUUCAAACCUCCUGGAGCCCGUGAAUUCGUAAGGCAACCACGAGGACACCAGCUGGCAGGACGCUUCAACUUUCCCGCACGCAGGACUCGGGUUCCUUUUCGAUCGUGACUCAGAUAUUGGAGGAAGGGACCCAGGAGAAAGGUCAGGAAAAUACAAUGGUGUAGGUAUACGUAUAUCUCCACUGCCCCCCAUCUUACAGAGCAUUCCAAGGAUCGUAGUCACAGGGGAAGUAUGGGACUUGGAGGAUACUGAUAUGACUUCAGAAACAACGCAGCACAAAAUAUCUCCCCGAACACAAUAGAUGACUUGUACAAGCCCCAUAUUUAUGGAUCUAUAAGGCGGUGUGGAACGAGACCAUUCUUUCACACAACUGGUACUAUACAUAUAUUUUUCUUAAGCAGGCACAACGCCACCAGAGAUGGUUAAGAAAGUGCCAGGCUGAUUCAUGAGACGGUGUGGUGCCAGGCAUGAGGGUGACAAGGGGAUUCGGAGAGGACGAUGGGGAGGGGCUGAGGGGUGACCUUGCCAGAAAUCUCAGGCUGACUUUCCAAGAACCUUUCUGGCCCUCCCUUCCCUGCAGAAGCCAACUCAGACAAAGAGAUCUCUAGAGGGGUGAUGGGGGCGGGGGGCCAAAGGAGACACGGGCUGGCCGAGACGCAGUGCGUGUGUGCCUGCUGGCUCUCUACGUGGCUCUGCGUUUCGGGACCCUCGCCUUGCCCAGAAUCCCAACACGGUGGCACCUGGUGGCUCUCAGCACGGGACUCAGAUCCACCACUCCCUAAGGGGGCGAGCCUGGGGUGGACCCCCAUCCAGAUGUGGAGUGGGUCCCUCCUACCCCAUGGCAUCAUGAUGCCAUGGGGCUUUUUUUCUCUCACUUUCCUGUUUCAACACAGGUCAAAAGAGGAAAGGCACAGUCUGACUGUAGCAACGCCACGGCUGAAACAGGAGGGAGGGGCAAUUCCCAGCAGAAAGAGCCUUCCUCCCCCUUCCCCAUAGACCUCACCCUGCAAUGCUGGUUCACUCAGAGGCCGCCGUCGUCCAGCUUCCUGUACUAAGGGGCAGGGCGGUGUGGGAAGGACCACAGGGGUGGGGGAGGAGGAGGAGGAGGGAGGAUGCCUGGAGAGCCCUCUCCUUGGGUGGGAUGCCAUCUUCCACGCAGGAGUCACCUGGACGCCAGCGUUUCACUGUGGAGGAGAUCCGACCACACGUCUGUGGGGCUUUAACACUGUAAUCACGCCUGGCUCCUGGGCAGUCUGUGGGCAUUGCGAAGCGAAACAUAAAUGGACAAGGCGGUUAGCAGCACCAGGCGGGAGCAGCUGAGCUCUCCUUCGGGGAAACCAUGCCCCAGGGUUUUCCAAAUCACCUGCACAGCCUCUGAGGCUGAGGGCCUAGGGCCUCAGGGCCCACGUCUAUUCCAAUACCCAGAGCUGGCCUCACUUCUUCCCAGGAAACACGGAAGAAGUGCUGAAAGCAUGCGGCCUGGUCCCCUGCAAAACCUCCCCAUCUGACUGUUCUCUCCCCGAAUCCCAGGCAACUGGAGGUUGUCGGGGCUGUGUCGCUCAAAGUCCGCAACAUCCCAAACACUGGGGAGGUGGGACACAACUCUUCUGGAGUUUCUCAGGUGGCGCUGAGGGGUUUUCCACCACACUGACUCUUGAGGCCUCACCGUGGGAUUUUACAGGUCAAAGGCGUCUGUUACCUUACGCAAGAGAGUGUGAAGAGCGGCAUGGACUGGAGGGGAAAGUGAUAUGGACUUCUCAGAAGAGCAGCUGUCAAAAUGCUGAUGUGCAAAGCAGGUGGGGAGAGGGAAGCCGGGAGAGAGAGAGAGAGAGAGAGGGAUUAUACUUUAAAAUAUCACCUAUCUAGCCACCUUAUUUUGGACGCAUUCUGUAUAAAACUGUCACUGAAAGAAUACCAAAGGCCCAGGUUAGGAGGGCUCGAUGAGGGCGGGUGACUUGACUGCAGAUGAAUGGUUAAGGCAUUACUCAGGCCGUUGAAAAGGAGAUGGGUUUCCAAAGGCGGCUGCAGGAGAACUCAAGAAACCAGCAUACAUACAACCCCCUGCGUGGCCCCCGAGGGCUCACCCCGCUUAGAAAGAGAAGUAAAAGAACCCACUGGCCCAGCUGGCUGUCCGCAGAGGCUCCCAGCAGAGAAUCGGUUGCUGGAGACGUCAUUGUAGGGAUCGCGGCCGGAGCCGGAGGUCCCAGGAGCCUGCAUUGAGCUGGUGGCUCCUGACCCACCGAGACUAUCUGCUCUGUGGGGGAGGGAUGAGGCUGCUGCAGUCAGUUUCAAGGGGUGGACUUUGCCCGUCCUCGUCACCAAGGAAUUAAAUGGGAGUUCUAUUUCCAGUCUGGGAGUGGGAGGUUAGGUAGACGAUCUCCAGGUCAGUCUCGUUUUCAAGGGGUUUUUCUUUCCUCUAGGGUAAACUUGGGCUGAAAACACGACUGACUGAGAACUGAGCGUUUUUGCCUGGUGGGUGCUGACCGAACACAGCAGGUCACUUCUUGCUGCCUAAGAUGGAACCAAGGUGCCUCUCCACCUUGAGAAAGACGGAAAGACCGUUGCCAAGAAAAGGGGUCAGGGUCAAAGCACACAGGAGUGGCUUUUAAAGGGGACCUGUUGACCUGGAAAGUCACAACAUCCAAACUGAAACAAAAGGUGAACUGGUUCUUUAAAAAAAUAAGGUACAAAAAUCAACUGACGCGGAUCCUCAAAGGAUUAAAUCCCCAAAUGGCCAGAGAGAAUGGACUGACUGCAAACUGGAGGGAUGAAGAGAAUACAGACGACGGUCAAGCAGGACCAAGCCUCCGGACACAGAUGCACAAGGCUGCCAGGGGCAGGCUCGGGGGGAGGGCGCCCUGAUCCACCUUGGUCACCGUCCACUGUGCUGAGCCAUAACCCCUCUCUGGCCCAAGUGUUGGUCUUAACCCGGAGCAACAGGAUUGAUCUCCAUCCUCCAAAAGAGGGAAGAGGCGGUGAAGGGAGAUAAGAGAGGAAGGAGAGUUGGGGAGACGGCAGAGACUGAAGGAGGGAGGGAGUGGCCAGGGGAGGGAGGCGUGUUUUGAGACCAUCUGCAAAGAAUGGAUUUCUCCAAGAGAGACUCAGCAAGCUGAGCCCAGCACCCCUCAGCAAUCACAGGCUGCACUAUGAACUGCCCAAGCAUCCUUCUCUCAGGUGAGCGACUCCCGGGCAAGGUCGGCACAAAGUUUGUGGCGACUCCAGACGUGGCGGGUGGGCCGGCCACCUCUGGGCUGUAUGCUGGAGCCUUGGGCCUGAGAGGUGGAGGAGGCUGGUGUGGAGAAAUCUCCACACACACACACAAAGAGGACAGAGUAGACAAUGGCUGGAGACCCCAGAGGUCUUGGAGAUCCCUGGGAACGAACUUAGAGUUGGCAAGCAAGAAGAGGCCAGCAAGGCUAUACUUGGUCGCCCAGCAUCCAGCAGGUCUGUCCGGAGUCCCUGGACUGGGGGCUGGCGGGAGUGGAGGGACUCCCCUCCAGAGACAGGCUUUCAGCAAGACUCUCCCUUCCUGCACUGGGACCUAGAAAAAGCACCUGGUCAGCGAGAACUGGGGGGCUGGCGGGGAGGGUGGGUACGAAGGAGAGGUGAGGGCAGACAACAAGGACCCCGCGUUCGCCGGCGCCCAGAGGCCACCGGGGAGCGGCUCCUCCCACGCCAGCAGCUCAGGUCGCGGUCAGAAAAGGCCUUUGCAGGAAAAGACUCCAGGGGCGGGUCUGACGUGCGGGAGGGAAAGGCACUGCUCUUGGGGCCGCCGGUUUGGGAAGCCUUGGGAUCGAAGGUCACCCACGGGAGCUCAGAGCUCUCAGGAAGGAACCGGGAAAACGUGCACACGGGUGACACUGACACUCUUACAAGCUUGGGGGCGGGGAGAGGAGCACCUGAGACGAUCCGACACUCGCACGCCUCUCCUGCUCCGCAGCGUGAAAUGCACAUACGUCCUGAAUUGCAGAGAAAGCUGGUGAGAUUAUUGCUUUAUCGCCUUCCGAAGCACACAGAGCGUGAGGAACGAGGCCACAGGCCAGCCCUGCACACUGCGGGGACAAACGCACUCGAGGAACUGUGGCGGGGGUGCUUAAAGGUAGGACUGCUGACUGCUUUGAGAGGGAGAAGGAAUUCGCCAAAGGAGCAAUCGAGACCACCCUGCCCACCUCAACCCGGUGGCACUGCCCUGGACCACUGGUUACAGCAGGAAAUGAAUGGUUUCGUCUUCCUUGGAAAUGUCCUUUUGAAAAAGAUCAGUCCUGGGGUGAGGGGGGAAGAGGCGCUUUCAUGAUUCAGAACCCAGGGGAGACGGUCCAGCCUUCAUAUCCAUGUUCCUGGAGCUUCGCAGGGGUCUAAAAAUGUGUAGAAAUGCACAUUUUUACGUUUAAAAAAAAAAUCCCAAAAAACCAAAACCACCAGCAUGGACAUUUCUGGACCGCCCGGUCUCUUCCCCAGCCUGAAGCGCUGUCUGCGGAGAUGGUGCACGGGCUUGUGAAGGGUGAGCCUUCCUCCCUGAUCGAUCGGGGGAGCUUGCGGGGGGCGGGCACUGAGACGCCUUCUCUACCCGACCGACAGACAACCGACCAGCCAGCCAGAGGGACCAGGCAUGUGCAGGAAGCGACGGCAGCAGCGGGACCUCGUCUUCGGGCAGUUAAGGCUUGUUCGUUAGACGUGGCGGUGUCCCCUGUCUGGAGAGGACGGGUGUCAGCAGGGGGGAAGUGAGACCCCACUUCUCCCCAGCAUCGAGCCUGCAAAGCUUUCCCGGUGCUCCCCAAGACGCCACCCCAACUAGCCAUGGGCCAGGAAACACCACUUUGGUGUUUUAUUUUUUUGAGGAGUGGGAUGAAGAAG